GCAAUGGACGAAAGUCUGACCGAGCAACGCCGCGUGAGUGAAGAAGGUUUUCGGAUCGUAAAGCUCUGUUGUAAGUCAAGAACGUGUGUGAGAGUGGAAAGUUCACACAGUGACGGUAGCUUACCAGAAAGGGACGGCUAACUACGUGCCAGCAGCCGCGGUAAUACGUAGGUCCCGAGCGUUGUCCGGAUUUAUUGGGCGUAAAGGGAGCGCAGGCGGUCAGGAAAGUCUGGAGUAAAAGGCUAUGGCUCAACCAUAGUGUGCUCUGGAAACUGUCUGACUUGAGUGCAGAAGGGGAGAGUGGAAUUCCAUGUGUAGCGGUGAAAUGCGUAGAUAUAUGGAGGAACACCAGUGGCGAAAGCGGCUCUCUGGUCUGUCACUGACGCUGAGGCUCGAAAGCGUGGGUAGCGAACAGGAUUAGAUACCCUGGUAGUCCACGCCGUAAACGAUGAGUGCUAGGUGUUAGGCCCUUUCCGGGGCUUAGUGCCGGAGCUAACGCAAUAAGCACUCCGCCUGGGGAGUACGACCGCAAGGUUGAAACUCAAAGGAAUUGACGGGAGCCCGCACAAGCGGUGGAGCAUGUGGUUUAAUUCGAAGCA
rnacentral:rRNA from 1 species